UACGUAGGCAGCGAGCGUUGUUCGGAAUUACUGGGCGUAAAGAGUGUGUAGGCGGUGCUCUAAGUUCGGUGUGAAAUCUCCUGCUUAACUGGGAGGGUGCGCCGGAAACUGGAGUGCUUGAGCGUGGGAGAGGAAAGCGGAAUUCCUGGUGUAGCGGUGAAAUGCGUAGAUAUCGGGAGGAAGGCCGGUGGCGAAGGCGGCGCUCUGGAACGGCCCUGACACUGAGGCUCGAAGGCUAGGGUAGCAAACAGG
rnacentral:rRNA from 1 species